rnacentral:rRNA from 1 species
UACGUAGGGUGCAAGCGUUGUUCGGAUUUACUGGGCGUAAAGCGCACGUAGGCGGAUCGUUAAGUCGGGGGUGAAAUCCUGGAGCUCAACUCCAGAACUGCCUUCGAUACUGGCGAUCUCGAGUCCGGAAGAGGUGAGUGGAACUCCUAGUGUAGAGGUGGAAUUCGUAGAUAUUAGGAAGAACACCAGUGGCGAAGGCGGCUCACUGGUCCGGUACUGACGCUGAGGUGCGAAAGCGUGGGGAGUAAACAGG